UACGUAGGGUGCAAGCGUUGUCCGGAAUUAUUGGGCGUAAAGAGCUCGUAGGCGGUUCGUCGCGUCGGCUGUGAAAACCCGGAGCUCAACUCCGGGCCUGCAGUCGAUACGGGCGGACUCGAGUUCGGCAGGGGAGACUGGAAUUCCUGGUGUAGCGGUGAAAUGCGCAGAUAUCAGGAGGAACACCGGUGGCGAAGGCGGGUCUCUGGGCCGAUACUGACGCUGUGGCGCGAAAGCUAGGGGAGCGAACGGG
rnacentral:rRNA from 1 species